rnacentral:lncRNA from 1 species
UCAUAAUCAUUCUCCACAUAACUUAUUCAUAAAGACAAUGAAUUUUGAAAGGAGAAAAAAGGUUGACUGGAAUGUUUUCAUUUGUGUCUAAGAUUAGUUCUCAUGGUUUGAUUGCAUUAAGGAAAAAAUAAACAAAGUUAAGAGGUGUACCCUGAAUCUGAUGCCAACAUUCUAGAAGCAGGCUCUGUGAAAAAAACCACAAAAACAAGUUUAAUAAAUCGCUGAAUUAAAUCUCACAGCCUACCUAGAUGGUUGAGGCUCCAAUUCAUCCUCUGGUUUUAAAUCUUGCUGCCUGUGUAUCUCCCUGGCCUCUUGUGAGGUCAGAUGUUGGGAAGCUUUAAAUGGCUCUAAGCUCUUAAAGAGGGGAGCCCAAGAGUUCCUAACAAGUGUUAAGUUAGAUUUUUACUUGGGGAGAAAAUAGAGAGUGGUUUUUGUAAGAUGCCCCUAAGGAAGUUUCCACAAUCAUUGUCUCCUCUUUCUCCUCAGCUCUCUCCUUCUGGCUCCAAGUCGUCCAGCAUUCACCUGGAGUAAAAAGGUUUAGUGAGAUCACUGCCAUAACCCCAGAUUAGUCUCACUUUCUAAUCUUCCUGCUACGACACAGCCUGCAAGCAGAUAUCCAUGAAUAGGACUUCAAGUGAAAGGGAGGAGAGGGAGGGCCGACAUCUAAAUAGUGGAGCUCUGACAGAUUUCUGCAAUUAAAAAGGUUUCCUUGGUGUUAUCACUGAUGUUUCCUCUCUUUUUUCCCCUUUAAUAUGUCCUUUGUGAAUGGCUGUGUCCCCAGGCAGAUGGUUGAUUAUACCCUGUUAAUCCCACAAAGACCUCUCCCAGUCUCCCUUCAAUCACCACUAACUCCCUCACCCAGAGCAUAGGGUCUUCCGACAGCCAUAACACACUUCAUCCAUCAUCUUCCAUCCUGGGCUUCUCUUCCUUACCCUCACCCCACCCCCACCCCCAGAUUAUUCAAAUUCUUCUCCUGUGGCAUGGAAUCUCAGAUUGACUGGCCUAGUCAUCAUACCUUCUGGGUUUUCUUUUCCCCACCACAGCAGUUGGUUCCUGUCACUCAGAUCAUUUGGCUGCAUCAACUAGUUAGCUGCAAAUGGUGCUCAUGGUCAUGAGAGUGUGGACCUGGAUUCAAUGAUGAGUGUUCAUAUUUCUUAUUCCCAUCCCAAGUUGCUAAUAAUCAUCUUUAAGCAUUAGGCAGCUACCUUUCUGUUGUUCAAGAAAACAGCUUGAGAAGAAAUGGAUUCUAAAACUCUAAUACAUAAUCUAUGCAAUCGUUGCUCUUGCCAAUGCUAUUAACACAAAGAAAACAAGAUUCAUUUCAAAUCAACUGACAUUAUUGAGAAUCAAUUUUAUAUAAGAUAUUAUGUGUAUAUAUGACUCAACAUAUUUGCCCUCAAGGAAAUUAUAAUAGAGACAAUUUCCUUCCCUCCACUGCCCCCCCCCCCCACACACACACACUGAUACCUAUUACACAAGCAGGAUGUGAGCCACAAAAGCCCCGUGAGGCUCCAGUGGAUUGGGGUCAACUGGAGGAAAAAUAAGGAGGAAUGUUUUCUGGUAAGGUAACAUUGAGAUAGGCUUGUAAAAACAGGUAUGAUUUAGAUGAGCAAGGAUAGAAAGGAAGUGGGGAAAGAAUCAAAGCCUGGGGGAACAUCUCAACACCAAGAAGUUGGGAAAAUCAGCAAAUAAUUCGGCACUGAGGGGAAAUGGGAACUUGAUGGCGAACAGGAACAGAUAAGGCUAUAAGAUAAGUUGGGGAUUUAAGAAUGCUAAGAAGGUCAUUCCAUACCAAGGAGUUUGGACUGAAUCCCACAUGGAGCAGAAACUCUAAAAAGAUUGUAAAAGAAGAGAAAUUGGAUUGCAGUUGUAUUCUAAAAUGGAAAUCAAUGCAUGUUCUCUUACUUACCAAGAAAAUGAAAUGAGAAAUUAGCAUUAUGAGAGGAUCAACAUCAACAUCCUCUUUUCCAAGUAGAUUUCAUUAAUAUAAAGCAUAACCUUAAAAACCUCUUUCUAGUCCAAAAAAAAAAAAAAA